CGGCAGCACUGUAGGCAGGGAGAGCCUCUCCCGGAGAGGGUAUAAUAUAACCCACACUUGGUCGCAGCAAGAUGUCUCACAAGAAAUUCAAUAUACCUCGCCAUGGGUCUGUGGAAUUUAAUCCCAAUAUGGGAUGCCGAAGACAUUGUGGCUUUCCUAAAAGAUGAUUCAAAUUAAUUCAUCAAAUGUCUCUCAUUGGUUACAAAAUUGAUUGACUUAUGUGGUCAGGGAACCUACUCAUCCAGAAUGAAGUAUUGCAUUAUGUUGGUGCAUGAAAAAAUUGAAACAAGGGUUUAUGAAAAGACUCUUAAGAUAAGGUUAAAAGGAACGACGCAUCGACGGAGUACGAUUUAAGAUUUCAUUGUGACCAAAGUAUAUGAGA